rnacentral:rRNA from 1 species
UGGGGAAUUUUGGGACAAUGGGCGAAAGCCUGAUCCAGCAAUGCCGCGUGUGUGAAGAAGGCCUUCGGGUUGUAAAGCACUUUUGUCCGGGAAAGAAAUCCUCUGGGUUAAUACCUCGGGGGGAUGACGGCACCGGAAGAAUAAGCACCGGCUAACUACGUGCCAGCAGCCGCGGUAAUACGUAGGGUGCAAGCGUUAAUCGGAAUUACUGGGCGUAAAGCGUGCGCAGGCGGUUUUGUAAGACGGAUGUGAAAUCCCCGGGCUUAACCUGGGAACUGCAUUCGUGACUGCAAGGCUAGAGUAUGGCAGAGGGGGGUAGAAUUCCACGUGUAGCAGUGAAAUGCGUAGAGAUGUGGAGGAAUACCGAUGGCGAAGGCAGCCCCCUGGGCCAAAUACUGACGCUCAUGCACGAAAGCGUGGGGGAGC